UCCCUGGUGGGUCCAAUUGUUAAGACUCCUUGCUCCCAAUGCAGGAGUCCUGGGUUCUAUCCCCGGUCAGGGAA
rnacentral:tRNA from 1 species